CCUACGGGGGGCAGCAGUGGGGGAUAUUGCACAAUGGGGGGAACCCUGAUGCAGCGACGCCGCGUGGGGGAAGAAGCGCCUCGGCGCGUAAAGCUCUGUUAGCAGGGAAGAAAAUGACGGUACCUGAAGAAGAAGCCCCGGCUAACUACGUGCAAGCAGCCGCGGUAACACGGAGGGGGCGAGCGUUAUCCGGAGUGACUGGGUGUAAUGGGGGCGCAGAGGGUGGUGCAAGCCGGUAGUGAAAGGCCGGGGCCCAACCCCGGGACUGCAGUUGGAACUGCGGGGCUGGAGUGCAGGAGGGGCAGGCGGAAUUCGUGGUGUAGCGGUGAAAUGCGUAGAUAUCAGGAGGAACACCGGUUGCGAAGGCAGCCUGCUGGACUGCAACUGACGUUGAGGCACGAAAGCGUGGGGAGCAAACAGGAUUAGAUACCCGAGUAGUC
rnacentral:rRNA from 1 species